rnacentral:rRNA from 1 species
GAUGAACGCUGGCGGCGUGCCUAAUACAUGCAAGUCGAGCGAACGGACGAGAAGCUUGCUUCUCUGAUGUUAGCGGCGGACGGGUGAGUAACACGUGGAUAACCUACCUAUAAGACUGGGAUAACUUCGGCAAACCGUAGCUAAUACCGGAUAAUAUUUUGAACCGCAUGGUUCAAAAGUGAAAGACGGUCUUGCUGUCACUUAUAGAUGGAUCCGCGCUGCAUUAGCUAGUUGGUAAGGUAACGGCUUACCAAGGCAACGUUGCAUAGCCGACCUGAGAGGGUGAUCGGCCACACUGGAACUGAGACACGGUCCAGACUCCUACGGGAGGCAGCAGUAGGGAAUCUUCCGCAAUGGGCGAAAGCCUGACGGAGCAACGCCGCGUGAGUGAUGAAGGUCUUCGGAUCGUAAAACUCUGUUAUUAGGGAAGAACAUAUGUGUAAGUAACUGUGCACAUCUUGACGGUACCUAAUCAGAAAGCCACGGCUAACUACGUG